rnacentral:lncRNA from 1 species
UCUCAAAGUACUUUGGACUUAGUUCGCUCUUUUUUUUUUUUUUUUUUUUAAUUUCCUCGAGGUACAGAGUGAGGUGGUUUUACACCCAACGUGGGGCUCGAGCUUAAAACCCAAGACCAAGCGCUGUAUGCCCCGCCGACUGAGCCACCAGCCGCGACAUCUUUCCUUUUUCUCAAGGGGUGUUCACGACUGUGUUGUUGAGUCUGCCGGCCUGUGCGAAUUUUCCUGCUGUUACACGUUUCACGACAUGGUGGUCAGAAAAGCUACUCGGUAUGAGGUCAGUCCUUGUAAAUCUGUUAAGACGUGUUCGGGCACCCAACCUGUGAUGCUUCCUGGUGAGUACUGUGUGUGCGGGGAGGCCGGUGGACCCCGCCGCUGGUGGGCAGGUGUUCCCGCGUCUGUAGGGCGAGGCGCUCCGCUGUGCGUUUUGGGGCAAUGCUUCCUUACUGAUUCUCUGUCUCCUGAUUGUCCGGUGUUGAAAGUGGGGCUGUGGCUCCUACUUUAAAUAAGUAGAAAAGGGCUCUUCUAUCUUUGUUUAACUUGAUGCAGCAAGUGGAGAGAGAAAAUGUUAGUAAGAUGAACCGUGGUUCAUUUCAAGUCACAUGAAAUGUGUGUGAGUGUUGGGCUGUAGAGAGGCUGUUGUUCCCAUUUAGUGUGGGUGUUCUACCCUUGUAUCCCUGGAAUGGCAGGUAACCCACAGAAGGAAACAGCGCCUACCAUAAAAAUAACUCCUCCCACCGCUUAAUGGGAACUUGUGAUCAAUAACUGACAUGAAAUCUACCUUGUGAGUCCACAGGAGGCUUACCAGUGGUGUUCCAUAUUAAUGCAAACCUUCCUUUCAAUGAGCAAACAGGUGCACAGAGCUGACGCUCCUCAGGUGGGACAGAGCUCCUAAGUGGGUGAUUGUAACACAGUAGGAGCUUUCAGGAUGCGAACUACAGAAUCCUUGUGUGCUCAGGGAUGAAGCCUCUGACCCAAGGUUCCACUGUCCUUUCCAUAUCACGGACUGGGGAACAGGUUCUCGGAGCUCCAGGGUGUGUCCUAAUGUCCCAGCACCAUUAGUUAUCACUGAGAACCGAGGAAUAAGAAACAAGACCCAUACUGGGUGAAUCCAGUUGAUGGUCACAAGCUACUCACUACGUGCUUCCUGUCUUGUGCACACAACAGUCCCCUAACACGGACCCAGUUUUCCCCAAAAGCAAGAAAGUUAGUAACUCAGAGACGUUUUUCUCGGUAUCAUUUACUUUUCCUUUCUGACAGUGGCUUUUCAAUCCUACAGUAACGAUUAGGAUUAUUGCCUUUGGAAGACUUUGUGUCUCUUAUCAGAACAAGUCUGUCUUUCUCUUGGAUGUCACAGAACCUUCAUUUUCACUCAUAAGUGCUCAGACCAGACUUUAACGCAUCCCCCAAAUGGGCUGUGGUCAGUUUUGAGCUCAGAAACCCAGUUUAGUUGGUUCUGGAUUUUAUAAAUGAGAAUCAAAGAGACAAAAUGUAGGAACUCAAAAUCUCAAAGAGAUGUAAAGCAAUC